GUGAGAGGAAACACAGGCUGGGGCAUGAGGUGGGACUAGCCUGGGAGACCAGGGCUGGGGUGGCACCACUGGCAGGGUUGGCCCUGCACUGCCUGGAUACUGCUCCUGUACAGCCCCCUCCUAUUCAGCUGCCUGCUGUGUGUGGGGACCGCGUCCCCCAGACGCCAACUCCCCCUGGACCAGCUUCCCCUCUCCACAUCCCGUCAUGGUGAUGUGGAGCUCACCCUGAGCGUCCCUCUACAGAUUCCUGCCCAUUCCAGUACCAAAUGCCACAAAGACUGCACGAGGGGAAACUGGGUCCCUGAGAAGCCCAAGACCGGUCGCACCACCUCUUCUGUUGCCUCAAUUGGACCAAAACCAAUUGAGGUCCUGGUCUUGGCCACUGCCUUGGGCCACCAGACAACCACCAUUGGGCAGGGCAGGUGCCAAGGAUGUACCUACCUGAAUUUGGCAGCCCAAGUGCCAAGGGCCAUUCACCCCCGCUCCUCCUAGCUCAGCACACAGCUCUGGCUUGCCAUCAUGCCCACCCCAGGGCCCUGUCAGUCUCGGCAGCCCCACCUGGUGAUCUUGGAAUCACCAGGAUACAGCCCAGCCAGGGAGACCUCACUGCGUGCUACUGGGGAGUCCUGGGGUGGGGGUGGGGGUGAAGAAGUGUGGAUGGGUGAAGGGAGCCCCAGACGGGCAGAGGCUAGGAGCGCUAGGGAGAGCCGGCCCAGAGGCCAGAGGUCCUGGAAAAGCUGGUGAUGAGCUGGGUUUGGAGGAGGCCAUAGCGUCAGCGCCCGUGUGAGAGGUAGCACUUUACUUGCCGAGCUUGGUCUUCACAGACAACCCUAAAAGCCACAGGUGGGCCUGCUCUUCUCCUAGAGUUUGUCUCUACCUGGUGCCAUGCCUGUCCCCACUGCCACAUAGGCCUCAAACUGGCUGGCCCUGCAGAUGUAGAGUGUCCCCGAGGCGGACCCCUGCUCAGGCUUCCAUGGCUCCUUGACUCUGGGAUGGGGCUGGCCUGUCUCCUGAGCUGGAAAGGAGUGGUCCCACAGCAUGGGUGCGAUGUAUGGUACCUGCUGCCACCUCGUUUGCCUCCUUGGUCCCAUGUGCCACCCAGACCCUCAGUUUCCUCAUCUGCUCACAGGUCCCUGUGGGCCAGCUGCGUGGUGAGGCCUGGCCACAAGGGCCCUGCAGGCACCUCUAGCAGGAUGCUCCCGAUGGCACCGCAGGUUGCAAAGGAGGUAAGGAUGUAAGGGUGGCCAGGCUGCCAGCCAGUGGUGAGGGUCUGAUCUUGGUGGACAGCAGGGAUGAGGGCAGAGGGUACUGUCUGGGCCAGUGCAGAUGUCUGAGGGAGGCAAAGGUCUGGCCGGUCCUUCGGCACAUGUCCUCCCCUGGGGCAGUGGUGUGUAGACUCCAACACUGGGCCUCCCAGCCCAGAAGCCCUCUGGACACCCUCCUUUCCAGCUUACCUGGCCCACUGCAGGGCCCAGGGUGAACACAGAGCCACAAUCACAGCAGGUUGCCUGACACAGCCUGGGGAGGAAAGAGUCUGACCACUGCAGACACGGCCUCUCUGGACCUCUGUCCCGGUCCCACCCUGGAUAGCAUCUUUUCUCAUCCUCCAACAACUUGCACAGCUCCAGACACAGGUCCAGCAACAGAAACCCCAGGCACAACUCUAGGGUACUGCCAGCCCCAGCCACAUCUCCAUGUCCUGUGGGCACCUGGUCUCCAUCUUUCCCAAAGUGAAGCUGGUGCGUUCUGCGGCCCUGCCAGCCCUGGAGGUUGCCUGUCACUCUGGUGUUGGCUCGUGGCCACUGCUGCCUUCUCAGCACCCUCACUCUAGGGAAGUCCAGACACCUGCAAACCCCCAUGCUGGAGGAGACACUGUGGUCAGCCAGAUCACUGCCCCAAGGUACGCACGCUGCUCUCGGAACCUGAGACUACGUCCCUUACGUGACAAAGCCGGGAUCACAUUAAGGGCCUUUCAGGGGUGAUUCUGGAUUAUCAGAGGUACAGUGUGAUCACAGGGGUUCAGUCUCCAGACACUGGCUUCAAGAUAGAACAACCUCCAGCAACUCCUGAGAACCAGCCCUGCUGAGUCCUUGACCUGAGACUCAUCACUUACGCUUUACAUUUUUGAUUUGCAGAAUUAUAAGACAACAUGCUUUGUGUGUAUGCGUGUGUACAUGUGUGUGCACUAUGCACCUGGGCCUGGAACACAUUAGGCAAGAGCCCCAGCACCACCCUGAGCUCCACCCCAGUCCUGUGUGUCCUUCUGAGCUUCCUAGUUUGUGUCUAGUGGUGCUGGACCCUGAUGCCAGUGAGCUGCCAGCCUCCUGUGGAGGGGACCCUGCCCACCAGCAUGGGCAGGAGUGUAGGGAGACCCCUAUGGGGUGGGGCACCCACUGAGAAGGGGCUGCUGCUCAGGGGCCACAGAAGAGGGUAUAUCGUCAGAGGCCCACACAGGAGACCCAGGAAGCACCAAGCUGCAGCCCACACAGGAUGAUGGGUACCUUUCCUCUCCAUGCUGGAUGCGCACAAGCAGCAGCCACGCCUGUGGCUGAAGGGCUCCCCCAGAUGAUAUCCUGAAACACCCAAGCGCUAGGGACCCAAGCAUGUGGCGACAUUAGGCCUAAUUGGGGGUCUCCCCAGAAGGGUCCCAUAAAACCAAGGAAUCCUGGGAACUUUGGCCUCUCCACCUGACCCUAACUCCUAGGCUAACCACAGGGGACUGUUUUCAUGGCCGCUCGAUCCCACCACUAGUCAGUCUCGGGUCAGAGGCAUAGCAGUCUUUCUAGGCCACCCCCCUACCUCCAGCUCUGCAGGGCAGGGAGUGAGCCCCAAGGGAGACUGCAGAACCACUGCACUGGGCCCUCCCACAAGAGCAUCAGGGCCCUGGGGUUUAGGUUAUCUCAGGCUAAGGCUGAUGAGGGCUGACCAUGUAUUUGCACCACAGGGUCCUCUCCUUACCACAUUCCUCUUGGGUGACAGCAUGUGCUCCUUCUUUGCACCAGGGACACACAUGGGUGUGCAAGUCAGGCUGCAUGUGGAGGACAUGGGCCCAGUACCCUGUACCUGCUCACUGGACUCACAAACUGUCUACCUUGGCCAGAAGGGCAGUGACCUGGAACAAGGGGCUUGAUACACCCAGCAGCCCUGGCUCAGGCCCUAACAGACAGACACCUACAUAUGGUCCCCUCUUUAUGGCAGUUGCCUCCCAGGUCCCCAGGUAUGUUUUCAUUAAGAGCAGAGGAGUGAAGUCUGCUCCUAGAAGACCACAGCUUCUGACCAUACCCCUUCUGCACCCCUGCCCAUUCCAGGGCCCCCAACAGUUGCCAGGGCCUCUGGAAGUCCACUGUGUAUGGCUCCUGCUUGCCCAGGCACGAAUGAUUUAAACAUGACGUAUCCCCCAGGGUCCUGUGCUGGGGGCUUCAGCAUUCAGAGAUGGCACCUUCACAGGUAACCAUCACAACCGAGCUGAUGUCACAAGCUUCAUCGGCUCCUGAGUUCACAGCUGCCUGGCUUUUAAGAGGCUGGGCCCGCAGGGGAGCUGGUCAUGGGCCUUAAGGGCGCCUCUGCCGUGGCAGGUACUCUCUCUGCUUCCCGGCUGCCAGGGAUCGACUCUCUGCUGCCAUGUCUUUUGCCACGAGGGCUCUGCUGCAUCACAGGCCAAAACCAACAGGACCAGCAACCAUGGCCUGAAAUCUCUAAACCCAUAAACCAGAAUGUAUCUUUCCUCUUUUAAAUUCUGUGGGCUUCUGUGAAAGGCUGGCUGACACACCCCCAUUUUCCUUGUGUCUGGGGUUCCCUCAACUCCAGGAGUUAGCACAUGUCUGGAGGAGCCUGGAUGCUUCCAGGUCCUGUGACACUCACAGGCUCUGAAAAGUUCCAGGAACUCAUCACCCCGUCCUGGAUCCUGACUGAAGCCAGUGGAACCACCCAAAGCUUCGGAAGACGAGGGGAGCUCAAAGGGAACAUGGUUGCUUACAGCCUGAGAUGUCUCCCUUAACCUCUGUGCUUCGCAGAUAGCCCUGCUGGCCAGCCGCAUCCUGUGGCCGUGAUACUGCCUUGUUCAUACUGAGGUGGGCUCCCUGGUAUCAGAAUGUGGGGUGCAUAUGGGGUCACCAGGAGUGGCCGAGUCCACAUAUAUCCACAGCUGACCUGUUCAACUCCAUCUAGUGGGUGGUGCUGUGUCCCUCAAAAGGACCUGUUGAAGUGCGAGCCUUGUGUCUGCAAGCUGGCUUCAUUUUGGAAUAUAGCCUGCCUAUGCAGUUCAGGGUGGUUUUGAAAGCACUAUGCAACCCAAGUUGGUCUCAAACUUGCAGCAGUCUUCCUGCCUCAGCCUCCCAACUGCUGGGAUUACAGGUAUGCACCUGGCUCGUGAGCUGGCUUUUUGGAAACAGGGCUGCAAAGGUCCUGGAGUUGGGUGAGGUCACAAGGUAGCAGGGUGGUCCCUGACAUGAUUGUGUCCCCAGACAGCAGCAACUCAGGCUCACACAGAGGCACAGGGCAGGUGCAGAGCAAGGAGAAGACACCUACAGCCACAGAAGUGACUCUUGCGGUCACUUCACAGGGACCCAGCCCCACCUGCAUCUGGAUGUUUGGGUUUAGGCCUUCAAAGCUGUGAGAGAUAAAUUUGGGUUGCUUCAAGCCACCCAGUCGGCAGUUGGCAAUAGCUACCACAGUGUGGCCAAAACCCUACCGCUGUGCACAACUAUGUGUGAUCUGAGGCCCUGUGAUGUGUGUGUGCAUACACUGGAGCACAUCGAGGUCUGUCUGCAAGUGACCCAAGGCCCUAUAAUGUCUGUGCACAUGUGGUGUGCUCCAAGGUGCCCUGUGCAUACCUAGGUGUGGCCCAGUCUCCUGUCCCACUAUAGGAGGAUCUAAUCCUGGGUCAGAGCCUCUGGACGCCAGGGUCCAAGACAACAGAGCAGCAGAGCCCGCACCCUUAGGGUGGGAGUAGGCUGCCUGGAACGGCCAAGGACCUGGCAUCUCCACGUCAUGGGUCUCCUAAAAGGUGAGACAUCUGUAGAGAUUGGUGAACCAACUGCCAAGGCAAAGUCUGCCUUUUGCUCAGUGGUUGCAGAGAACAGAGCAGGGCGUGCACCUUGAAGGGUGUACAGGAGCCCCAUGAUGCCUUUCCUGCCACACCUGGCACCACUGGACCUUAGGCACAACCCAUAGUUUUACGGCAGUUGCCUCUCAGGUCCCCAGGUGUGUUUUCAUUAAGAGCAGAGGAGUGAAGUCUGCUCCUAGAAGACCCAGGCCCAAGUUUUCCUCAGCCUGGUCUCCCCCUCACUCCCCUGGGGAGCGCCUUUCCUGUCCCCAACAGCUGGCUUCCAGCCUCCUCUAUGUUUGGGCAUCGGGAGUGUCCCCUUCCCCAACAGACGGGAUCAGUGCUCUCUGUCCAGGUCACUUCUAGGACCUCCUCCCACACCUGUGCACAUCUAGGGUGACCUGAGGCCCUCCACUCCCACAGGCCCCAGUCCAGGUGCUGAUCUAACACCUGAAUAACUGAUCCUGUCCACUUUGCCCUGGUCUAGGGCCUCUUCCGCCCGCACAGUCUGCUCAGCCCUGGGAGCUGCUGAGGCCACCCGGCCCUGCCCAGCCGCUGCUGCCAACCGGGCCUCCACCCACGGGACCUGUUCUCCACAAGCCUAGACUCGUCCACAGACCUUGCCACAGCCUGGGGCUUCACCACCCCAUAGCACGGGGUUAACAUCUGAACACCCUUUCCUGGUCCUCACCUGGCCACUCCUCCAGUCUCUCAGACCCUGUUGUGACACAAUACAGCCUAGACCGGGCCAUUUGCAUCUGAGACUGGCAAGGGCGGACAGGCCCAGUCGCCUCGGGGCUCGAGGCUGCGGAGGUAAAACAACAAUAAAACGGAGGAGGGGUCUCCGGCAGCCCAGUCCUUCACUCCAGGAACCUCAAGAGCCACAUGGUUACAGCAGGGGCCCACAGCCAGCCACUCACCUUUGAAGAGCCUGUAAUUCAGGAGGCAGAUCGCACCCUGUGUAAACACCAUUUGUAAUGCUGUAUUCCAGCAGAGCACCAAAGCAGGGGUCCUGUUGGAAACACAGGAGAGUCCAGCACCAGGUGAGAUCCAGCACUACACUAUCGAAGUACUGGGCAGCAACAGAACUUCUACUUAUAGCUGGCCACAGCUGGCCCUCCACAUCUGCAUCCUCCAUAUCCACAGAUUCAACCAACUAGAGAUCAAAACUGUUUGUAGGCCCAUGAUUGUACAUCUGUACUGAGUAUGGUCUGUACUGAGUAUGUACAUUUGAUGUCAUCUUCUCCUCAACAGUGUGUGUGACAGCUUUCCACAUUGCAUCUGCACUGUGUUAGGGACCCUAUGUACGCCAGAGACGAUGGGCAGUGCAGGGAGGGUGUGCUUAGCUCAUAUUUGCUAAGGAACUUGAGCAUCUGCAAGCUUCGGUGUUCAUGGGAGUCCUGGAGCCAAUUGCAGUGGAUACAAAUAACAAAUGCACAAUGUGACUAAGCCCUGACAUUUAGGAGGUUACAAGUACUGAACGCACUGUCUGCUUACAGUGGGUUUCCACGAUAUAAGCCAAGGACAGUUGGGCAUCUGUGUACAGCUAGCUACAUUAAAAUUUAAAUAGUAACAAACACCAUCCCUGAACAACCACCACACCCCUGAGAACCACAGUACACACUGGAGGACCACAAACUGCUGAGAGCCCUGGAAAGCAGCUGUGGGGGUCACUAGGUCCGAGCCAGUGAUUUAAUAGGGAAAGAACAGCCACUGGCAGGGAAAGGUUCCGGCGACAGAGACCUCAAGGUGGGUUUCACAUCCACCCGCCAUGGGACCCCUGCAGGGCGGGGAUUCCCAGCUAUAGGGGUGCGGCCUGGGAAUGUCCACCUCAGCAAGCUGCGCUAACUCUCGAGUGCUGCCUCCAGCAUCCUCUGGGCUUGAGUGAUGAGGACGUAGGCUGCAGAUGGUCACAACAGAGGUGUCAGAGUGCACAGGCGGCCCUGGACUUGCGGUACCCAGGCCACCUACGGUGCGUGUGGGGCUGGAGGUGACUCCUGCACCCAUGCAUAGUCCUCCAAACCGAGGUAGAGUUGUCUAUGUGUCAUAGGCUGUGAAGGCAACAGAUCAUAGCAUGACAACUGUGGGACAUGGGACCACAGAGUCUCAGCUCUGCAUCUCCCACAGUAUCCCACAUGCUUUCCUGAGCAUCACAGACCAGAAGGCCCCAAGGGUGCCCCCCAAGCGGCCAGGUGCACUUGUCCAGAGGUGGGGCUGCAGCUGAGCUGUGGAGAACCUGAGGCGGCGGGGCCUGUCCUGCAGGUGGGGAGCAGGGACUGGAGGAGCUGCUCCUGAGGCAGGUCUCAGUCAGCCAGGCUGCCUGCUGGCAGCAGCUCCGACCACCACUGUUGACCCUGCUCAGCUGUGUCACCAGAUGAGUGACUCACUUGUUUCAGGAGCUUAGAGGUCCGUACGUACUAGAUUCUCUGUUGAAUACAGGGAGGAAAAGAGUAAGUGACAGAGUCCUGGUCAAUGCCCAUGAGCAAUUACACUUGCAUGGAGGGACACUGAAACAAACAACUAAGCCAAGUGGUCAUCCAGUGGCCACGGUCAGUGUGGAAGCCUGGAGGAGGCCCUGAGGGCUUGAGGCCUGGGUUGAGCAUAGGACAGGCUGCUAACACACACACCUGCUGGGCCCAAGGCUUCUGGGCCACGCUUGUGUCACAGGAGCUGGCUUCCUCUGGGAGUCUGCUAGUGCACCUUAAGGACUCCAGAUCAAAACAAAAUACAGGCAGAAGAGCAACAGCGAAGCAAGGAGACAGACAAACUCUGCCCCCGAGCAGUCACGUCCCUGGAAAAACUGAUAAAGAUCUUUUGGCACCCUGGACAUGAGACGGGGUUGGUGACCAGCAUGUUCCUGACUGAGGCUGCCCCAUGGCUGGGAAGACUGAACGAGCCUGGUAGGAAACAGUAGCCCAGGAAACUCAAAGAGCCUGAGCUCUGUGGUGGGUAGCACGCAGGAAGCCCCAGCCAGCAACAGCUUUACCAGACACGGCAGUGAGUACACGCGUCACCCACUGCUUGUCAGCUACGAAGCUCGGUAGACAUGCUCUGUGAGCUACACUUAAAACCAGGUAAAAAGAAAACUCAUCAGAGACAUCAACUGCCAUACAGACACAGACAGACAGACGGACAGACAGACAUUAUGGUCUGGACCUAGGCAGAGAUGAGACAAAGCAGCAAGGAAGAAUAAACCCAGUGACCAUCAUGGGGGGGGGGAUGCAGAAUCAAAGGUGCUGAACUUUAAAGAUUGCAUGGCUUCUCUUCUAUGAGAAACCUAAAGUAUAUACAAAUAAAGAGUGAAAGAGAGGAGAGAUGGAGAAAACAGGUGAGGCAGCUUUCUGGAGGUGGAGAAGAAGAUGAGAAAGACUGGAAGGGGGCGAUGAUAAAAACUGAUCAAAAUAUGACAUACCUAUGCGCCAAUUCCCCACAGCAACUGUAAAUAUAUAUUGCAAGUAUACACCAAUACAAAAUUUUAAAGUUACUAUAUUUCUAAAAGUCUUAGUUUUUAACAAAAAUAUAAGAUAUGCCAAAAAAUCAAAAGUGUGACCCACAUUCAAAAAGAAAGACAUUAGCUGGUUGCAGAGUGCAUGCCAUUAACUCAGUUAUUCAGGAGGCAGGAACAUUCAGUUUGAGUCCAGUCUGCACAACUUAGUUAAGACCUCUCCUCAAAAUAAAAACACAAAAGGCUGGGGAUGUAGCUCAGUGAGAGCAUAUUUGCCUAACACAUUCAAGUUCCUGGCAGGAGAAGAGCCAGGAGCAGAGGAGAAGGAAGAGGAAGAAGAGGAGACAUCAUACUGAAGAGCAUUUCCAGCUGUUAGAUUUCAUACAGAUUUGGAGGUUACUAUCACAAGUACAUCCACACAACUAAAGGAAGCCGUGGAAAUACUCAGGCAGAAGAAACAGAACGAUGGUUCUCUGGAACAAUGGAGAGCAGAACGAAGGGCUAGUGGGAAGUCUGCUGCAGUCUGGUCACAGAGGUGAGGCCCCUGGAAGGCUCACAGCAAAUUCCAGAUGGCAGAAGAGUGAGCUAGUUGGGUGCAGUGGUGCACUCCUGUGAUACCAGCAUUUGGGAGGCUGAGGCAACAGGAUUGCCGCAAAUUUGAUGCUAGCCUGGGCUACAUAGUGAGUUCAAAGCCAGCCUGAACUACACAGUGAGACCUUGUCUCAAAAAAGCAAGCAAGCAAGCGAGUGAGCUCAAAGUAGACUGACAGGAAAAGACUGAGGGAAAAUGUGGCGGCCAAUGGGGUGACACCCAGCUACCAACUUGGAGAAAACAGCCACAGAGAAAGGAGAGAAUAUAUGAAGAAAUACUGGCCCCCAAACUACCUAAGUCUGAUGAAAAACUAAACCACAGAUCUAAGAGGCUUAAAAAAAUUUCAAGUAAGACAACCAACCAAGAGACCAUGAGCUGACUUCCCAGAAGGUGCAGAAUCGGCGAGCAGCGGCGAGGGCAGAAGAGGGAGACAAUGACUGGCCUCUGCAGCGCACAGCCCCCGCCCCCCGGUGCACCUCCAGACACCCCCCAGUGCACCUCCAGGGGCAAGGCUGCAGGCAGAGCGCGUCCUCCAGGCAGACUGGCACAGGCUCCCCAGAGCAGAGGAAGUGUUCCACUCCGUUUGAGGGGACACUUGGGGAACGUUUCUUAAGCCCACAGGCCGAGGCCUAAUUUCUUCACCCAUUUCCAGAUGACAAGAUCCAUAUACUUAUGUUAAAAAAAGAAGAAGAAGAAGGGGGAAACUAACAAGAUACGUUGGUCUCUCAGGAAAAGUAAAACAUAAAAAACUCAAUAGUGAUCAGGGGCAUGAAAAUGUCCAGGUUUGCUACAGCCAGAUGCACAGGACGAGAAGGAGGGCAGCUGGGCAGCUGGGCUGGUGGGCACAGGGCUAGCCUGGCAGGCAGGAGGUGUGCAAACACAGACAGUGUGGGCUCUCAGCAGGUCACUCUCCCCCUUUAGGCUCUGGAAGGGCUAAGUGUCACCUGUGCAGGCCAGCUUCGGAAGACAUGAAGUCACAGUCCGGUUUCCGGGACCUCCUCCCCCUGCUCUGGUGUUGGCACACACAGAGGUGAGGUUCCAGAGUGACGCUCCUGUGUGUGGCAAGAAGGUCCUUCAGGGCAGUGAAUGCACUGGGUGGGUGUGCUGGUGGUCACCACACAGAGGCCCUUACUGGAUCAGGGAGAGUCCCAUGGAGUGAGAGCUGUGCCCUUCAAGAAUGACAGAAGUAGCCAGCGUGGUGAGGCAUGCCUGUGAUCUGUUGGGAUUACUCUGGGAGGCUGAGGCAAGCAGGCUGCAAGUUCAAGCCCAGCCUGGGUGGUUUAGCACAUUAGUGAGACCCCAUCUCAAAAGAGCUUUUUAAAAAGGGCUGGGGAUGUGGCUCACUGUGGAGAACAGAGACUCAAUCCUGAGUACCACAGAGAAAAAAAGCCUCCCCUCGCAAGAAUGCCCAAAACACUCCUCUUGAAAGCCUCACUAAAAGUUGAGAUUGGAGGCUUCUUCCUAAAGUGCUGAAUAUCAAAGCUAUCUCACAGGUCCCUACAGAAACAUGCACGAGAAAUGUACAAGGCCUGCUGGGCUCUGGCUUUGGAAGGCCAGCGGCUGCCUCCAACACAGCAUCCUUCAAGCAUGGUUCUGCUUCUUUAAAACUCACUGCUGUUCGCAAUGAGCUGGUCUCUGCCCUCAGAGACUGCACAGGAUAAGGAAGCAGGGCUGCAGCAGUCACGCAGAACGAGAAACCCUAGAGGUCCUACCUGCUUCCGAUAGGGCGUGAUGACACCUAUGUCCCUGGAAGACACCUGGCUGGACAUGCUGUUGGCCAGCAGGCAGCAGUAGCGCAUAACUUGGACAGCCUCAGCUGGAUUGAACCACGACGGGCUGCGUCCUUCACGAGCCUCCAUGCCCUGAGUUAAGGAGGAAAGAACUUAUUAGUGAUGUUUACCAAGGGCUCAUCAUCAGGAGCUGAAACAGAAGGUGGGAGUAAACAGUGAACAUGACAGAAAAAUCCCUACUCUCACAAAGAACUUAAAAUCAUUAAGUAAAUACGAAUUACUUGCAUGUCAAUGCUACAAAAGAGGACCAGCUGCACCCAUGUGUUACUGAGGUGGAAGGCCUGGGGAGAAUUACACUUUAGGGUGUGCCCAGGCUGACCCAAACUUUCAAUCCUCCUGCCUAGCCUCCUCAGGAGCUGCACUAAGGUGUGCACCACCACCAUGCCUACCCGGUAGGAUUCCUUCAUGUAACACGACUGAGGAUGGCUAGGAAUUCCCUGGCAAGGAACAGGCAGUGCUGGAGGGAGGGCACUCAGGGCCUCACAUGGAACAGCUCAAAGCUCUGCAGGCAGAGGGAGAGGGCAACAGGCCAAAGCCUAGGGAGCCUGAGAGAGCCUACAGCAUGCCUGACAAGGAGAGAGACGGCUCUGGAGGCUGCAGCAAGGUCCACUCCCCGUUCCGAGCACAGGGCUGUCAGCCAACCCCCUGGCUAUGUCUAACGGCACUCUCGAGUCUCCUGGAUUGCUCCCACUAGAGGACAGAAUUAUUCUCAUCCCGAGACAAAUUUCUCAAAAGACAAUGGGAAGGUGGGUGUGGUGGUGCAUACCUGUAAUCUAGUACUCUGGGAAGCUGAGGCAUAAGGACGGACAGUUUGGAUUCUAAUCUACCAAACUGUAUUUUUUUUUGUCAAUCACAUAUAGUUUUUAUUUUCUCCAAUUUUGUAGUAUGUUUGUAACAUUAAUUCACUUUUUAAAUAAAACACUCAUAAUGCCAUUCUA